GACGAACGCUGGCGGCGUGCUUAACACAUGCAAGUCGAACGGAAAGGCCCUGCUUUUGUGGGGUGCUCGAGUGGCGAACGGGUGAGUAACACGUGAGUAACCUGCCCUUGACUUUGGGAUAACUUCAGGAAACUGGGGCUAAUACCGGAUAGGAGCUCCUGCUGCAUGGUGGGGGUUGGAAAGUUUCGGCGGUUGGGGAUGGACUCGCGGCUUAUCAGCUUGUUGGUGGGGUAGUGGCUUACCAAGGCUUUGACGGGUAGCCGGCCUGAGAGGGUGACCGGCCACAUUGGGACUGAGAUACGGCCCAGACUCCUACGGGAGGCAGCAGUGGGAAAUAUUGCACAAUGGGCGGAAGCCUGAUGCAGCAACGCCGCGUGCGGGAUGACGGCCUUCGGGGUGUAAACCGCUUUCGCCUGUGACGAAGCGUGAGUGACGGUAAUGGGUAAAGAAGCACCGGCUAACUACGUG
rnacentral:rRNA from 1 species